AUGCAAGUCGAGCGGACAGAUGGGAGCUUGCUCCCUGAUGUUAGCGGCGGACGGGUGAGUAACACGUGGGUAACCUGCCUGUAAGACUGGGAUAACUCCGGGAAACCGGGGCUAAUACCGGAUGCUUAUUUGAACCGCAUGGUUCAAAUAUAAAAGGUGGCUUCGGCUACCACUUACAGAUGGACCCGCGGCGCAUUAGCUAGUUGGUGAGGUAACGGCUCACCAAGGCAACGAUGCGUAGCCGACCUGAGAGGG
rnacentral:rRNA from 2 species